UACAGAGGUCUCAAGCGUUGUUCGGAUUCAUUGGGCGUAAAGGGUGCGUAGGCGGCGCGGUAAGUCGGGUGUGAAAUCUUGGAGCUUAACUCCGAAACUGCAUUCGAUACUGCCGUGCUUGAGGACUGGAGAGGAGACUGGAAUUUACGGUGUAGCGGUGAAAUGCGUAGAUAUCGUAAGGAAGACCAGUGGCGAAGGCGGGUCUCUGGACAGUUCCUGACGCUGAGGCACGAAGGCCCAGGGGGAGCAAAACGGG
rnacentral:rRNA from 1 species